rnacentral:rRNA from 1 species
AACAAACGCUGGCGGCGUGCCUAACACAUGCAAGUCGUACGAGAAAGGGUCCUUCGGGACCUGAGUAAAGUGGCGCACGGGUGAGUAACGCGUGGAUAAUCUGCCCUUCAGUUGGGAAUAACUCAUCGAAAGGUGGGCUAAUACCGAAUAAUACUGUGAGACCUCGGUCGAUCAGUCAAAGAGAGCCUCUGCUUGCAUGCCCUUGCUGAAGGAUGAGUCCGCGUACCAUUAGCUAGUUGGUAGGGUAAUGGCCUACCAAGGCGACGAUGGUUAGCUGGUCUGAGAGGAUGAUCAGCCACACUGGAACUGAGACACGGUCCAGACUCCUACGGGUGGCUG